rnacentral:misc_RNA from 1 species
UCCGGUUUGUCACCGGCAGUCUCCCUAGAGUGCCCUUGCGUAGCAACUAGGGACAAGGGUUGCGCUCGUUGCGGGACUUAACCCAACACCUCACGGCACGAGCUGACGACAGCCAUGCAGCAUCUGUGCACGCUCCCUUGCGGGUCCCUUCCCUUACAGGUUGGUACUACGUGCAUGUCAAACGUUGGUAAGGUUCUGCGCGUUGCUUCGAAUUAAACCACACGCUCCGCUGCUUGUGCGGGCCCCCGCCUAUUCCUUUGAGUUUUAACCUUGCGGCCGUAGUCCCCAGGCGGUGAACUUAAUGCGUUAGCUGCGGCACUGAUCGGGUCAAUCCGACCAACACCUAGUUCACAACGUUUAGGGCGUGGACUAC